AUUGAACGCUGGCGGCAGGCUUAACACAUGCAAGUCGAACGAGUGGAGGACGGGAGAGUAAUGCUUGGGAAUCUAGCUUAUGGAGGGGGAUAACUACGGGAAACUGUAGCUAAUACCGCUUACCAUAGGAUGAGCACAAGUGGGAUUAGGUAGUUGGUGAGGAAAAUGCUCACCAAGCCGCCGAUCUCUAGCUGGUCUGAGAGGAUGACCAGCCAAACUGUGACUGAGAAGCGGCCCAGACUCCUACGGGAGUCAGCAGUGGGGAAUAGUGCGCAAUGGGGGCAACCUGACGCAGCCAUGCCGCGUGAAUGAAGAAGGCGUUCGGGUUGUAAAGUUAUUUCGGUAGCGAGGCGUUACCUACAGAAGAAGCACCGGCUAACGCCGUGCCAGCAGCCGCGGUAAUUC
rnacentral:rRNA from 1 species